AUCUUGGUGGUUUUUGAAGCAUCAACACUUACUUCACAUGCAGAGGCCCCUUUUAUUUAUUUAUUUUUAAUUUUUUUGAGACAGGGUCUCGCUCUCUUGCUCAGGCUGGAGUGUAGUGGUGUGAUCUCAGCUCAGUGCAGGCUUGGCCUCCAGGGCUCAAGCAGUCCUCCCAUGUUGACCUCCUUUGUAUCUGGGACCACAGGUAUAUUUCACCAUGCCUGGCUAAUCUUUGUGUUUCUGUAAAGAUGAGGUCUUGCUAUGCUGCCCAGGCUGGUCUGGAGCUCCUGGCCUCAAGCAGUCCUCCUGCUUUGGCCUCCUGAAGUACUGAGAUUACGGGUGUAAGUCACCACACCCAGCCCAGAGGCCUUCUUUAAAUGCUAGUCCUUUUUCUCUUCCUCCAUCUGGGUCUUGGUUCCAUGCGUAUUCAGUUUGUGAAAAAUUUGAGUCGUGCACUUAUUAUGUAUGUGCUUUUCUGCAUGUAAUUAUGCUUGAUAAAAAAAGUUUAAAAAUUUGUUUUAGAUAGAGGUUUGAAUGUCACUAAUUACCAACGUGUAGCUCCUAAUUGGAAUUAAGAAGGGACUAGCUCCUAUUAUCAGAGAUCUGGUCAUCACCCUUCAAGUUGACUAUCUCCUUAUGCUGAUUUUUUUUUUCUUUUAAAUAGCAGCACAAAUAUUUACCAUCUAGCAGAUGUGGUAAGAAUGUAAGUUGUUCAGCCAUUUACAGCUUAGUCUUUGGGAGAUAUCCAUUCAUUUUAAAUACUUGGAGGG
rnacentral:lncRNA from 1 species